rnacentral:tRNA from 1 species
GUGUCCCCUUCGUCUAGAGGCUUAGGACAGGUCUCCGCCCUUUCACGGCGGUAACAGGGGUUCGAAUCCCCUAGGAGCGCCA